AGGGCACCACCAGGAGUGGAGCCUGCGGCUUAAUUUGACCCAACACGGGAAAACUCACCCGGCCCGGACACUGGAAGGAUUGACAGAUUGAGAGCUCUUUCUUGAUUCAGUGGGUGGUGGUGCAUGGCCGUUCUUAGUUGGUGGAGUGAUUUGUCUGGUUAAUUCCGAUAACGAACGAGACUCUAGCCUACUAAAUAGAUAGUCGGCUUACAAACGUCGACUAGACUUCUUAGAGGGACAGGCGGUGAUUCAACCGCACGAAACAGAGCAAUAACAGGUCUGUGAUGCCCUUAGAUGUCCGGGGCCGCACGCGCGCUACACUGAAGUGAUCAGCGUGCUUUUUCAGCCUACUCUGUCAAGAGUGGGAAACCCAAUGAACCUUCUUCGUGAUUGGGAUAGGGGAUUGUAAUUAUUCCCCUUGAACGAGGAAUUCCCAGUAAGCGCGAGUCAUAAGCUCGCGUUGAUUACGUCCCUGCCCUUUGUACACACCGCCCGUCGCUACUACCGAUUGAAUGUUUU
rnacentral:rRNA from 1 species